AGGAAUGGACAUCGUUUCGUCUUGCGCAUCUCUGUCUCUCUCACUUGCUCUAAUUUGAUGUGAAUCUUUUCUUUAAGAGCAAAGAAACUUUUCCCAGGACCCUCCCCUGCCCCAGCAGAUUUCCCCUCAUAUUAUCCAGAAUGCUGGAAGCCCGUGCCUAAGCGGUCAUGGGGAAGGAGCAUGGGACCACGCUUAGACUAAUCCAGCUCAUUCCUCCAGGCUGGCUCUCCAAGCCUCCCUGAUGCAGUUUCUGGCUCCUCGGAAGAAAGGAGAUGGGGGUCAGGAAUAGGUAUAAGCUGUGAUAGUGUCUGUCACAGAAUCCCAAGUCUGGUUGUUAAGCUUGACACACUGCUGCUAUUCUGGGCUUGCCCCUCGGCUCCCAUCCUCACUCUAACAUAUUUCCUCAGCUGUGAGGUAAGUCCCCACAACUCUAAAUGACACAUUCUAAGGCUGUCCUUGGCAGAACAGUGAGGAACAUGAAAUGUGUGCCUUGGAGCCCAGUGCUCUUAUGUAAUUCCCCUGGGAUGUCAGUGCCGUCCUUGGUCAGCGCAGGCAUGGUCACUGGAGGUGGGGAGAAGAGCAGAGCUCUGCCUCAGAAACGUGGGCCCUGAGCCCUCAGCCUGGCCCUGACCCAGCCCCAGAACUUUUUGUUUUGUUUUGUUUUUUGAGGUGGGGUCUGGCUGUGUUGCCCAGUUUGGACUGAAACUCCCGGACCCAAGUGAUCCUCCCACCUCAGCCUCCUCAGUACGUUGAUGUGAGCGUGGCUGCACCCGGCCCAGAGUUGGGUUUUAAACAUGUUUCCCCGUCCUCUGAGAUCUCAUCUUCCUGGUCUGUGCUUUUUCUUCUCUUAGAAUCCGAAUUUUUUAUUUUAUUUUAUUUUUUUAACAAAUUCUAACUUGCUCCCUAGUGUUACCGCCCACACCUACAACAACUUUAUCCUGUUUCCUUCCCUCAACCCCCACAGCUUUUCUGGCUCCCAUGGAGUGCACACUCGGCCACUGUGGCCGGAGCCUGGCAGAGCCUGGCUCAUUUGUUGAAUGGAUGACUCUGAUUAUAGCAGGUAUUCAGUAAGCCACUCUUGUUAAAUUAUUGAAAAUAAACGAUGUUACUCC
rnacentral:lncRNA from 1 species